rnacentral:misc_RNA from 1 species
CCCAACUCCUCAAAGAGAGUAGACCCAGAAGCACUAAUCAUUCCUCUUGCAUAUUCAUCUACCUUUGCUGCAACUUGAUGCGUUUUACCACCAAUUUGCUUUGUGAUGCUUUUUGCAGCUUCACGAAGUUUGCGGAACUGGGUGCUUGCUUGGAUCUUGGCCAAAGCACUACUGAGAGCUCCUACAGGAGUUGCAGGGCCAUCAAGAGUAGCUGUGGGUAAAGAUACUUGCUUAUUGUCAUUUAAUAUAACAAUUAGAUUAGCAUCAAGGAAUCCUGCAUUGUUCAUGGCCUCAUAUGCUUGUCCAGCUGUCAUGGCUCCAUCUCCAAUUACAG